rnacentral:rRNA from 1 species
AGUCGAACGGUAACGACGGGAGCUUGCUCCCGGGCGACGAGUGGCGGACGGGUGAGUAAUACUUAGGAAUCUGCCCAGUAGUGGGGGACAACUCGAGGAAACUCGAGCUAAUACCGCAUACGCCCUACGGGGGAAAGCGGGGGAUCUUCGGACCUCGCGCUAUUGGAUGAGCCUAAGUCGGAUUAGCUUGUAGGUAGGGUAACGGCCUACCUAGGCGACGAUCCGUAGCUGGUCUGAGAGGACGAUCAGCCACACUGGAACUGAGACACGGUCCAGACUCCUACGGGAGGCAGCAGUGGGGAAUAUUGGACAAUGGGCGCAAGCCUGAUCCAGCAAUGCCGCGUGUGUGAAGAAGGCCUGCGGGUUGUAAAGCACUUUCAGUGGAGAAGAAAAGCCUACGGUUAAUAACCGUGAGUCUUGACGUAACCCACAGAAGAAGCACCGGCUAACUCCGUGCCAGCAGCCGCGGUAAUACGGAGGGUGCGAGCGUUAAUCGGAAUUACUGGGCGUAAAGCGCGCGUAGGCGGUUUGGUCAGUCGAAUGUGAAAGCCCAGGGCUUAACCUUGGAACUGCGUUCGAUACUGCCUGACUAGAGUAUGGUAGAGGGAAGUGGAAUUUCCGGUGUAGCGGUGAAA